rnacentral:rRNA from 1 species
GACGAACGCUGGCGGCGUGCUUAACACAUGCAAGUCGAACGGUGAAGCGCUAUCCUCUUUGUCGGGUGUGGAUGAGUGGCGAACGGGUGAGUAAAACGAGAGUAACCUGCCUCCUUCUUCUGGAUAACCGCAUGAAAGUGUGGCUAAUACGGGAUAUUCUGGGUCUGUCGCAUGAUGGGUCUGGGAAAGCUAUUGCUUCGGUGGGGGAUGGGCUCGCGGCGUAUCAGGUUGUUGGUGGGGUGAUGGCCUACCAAGGCGGUGAGGGGUAGCCGGCCUGAGAUGGUGGGCGGUCAUAGAGGUGAGAAGAGGCGGAGCAUACUACGAGGGGAAGCAGCGGGGAAUAAUAGUGAACGGGGGGCGGAAUGAUGAAGCAGUGACGCGGCGGUGGAGAUGGAGGCCGGCUUGUUGUGAACCUCUGUCGGGAGUGAAGCGGGCCUGCCUCGUAUGUGGGUGUGUUGACGGUAGCUGGAUAAGAAGCGCCGGCUAACUACGUG